rnacentral:rRNA from 1 species
AGAGUUGAUCAUGGCUCAGGAUGAACGCUAGCUACAGGCUUAACACAUGCAAGUCGAGGGGCAGCAUUGGAGUAGCAAUACUUCAGAUGGCGACCGGCGCACGGGUGAGUAACACGUAUCCAACCUGCCGCUUACUCGGGGAUAGCCUUUCGAAAGAAAGAUUAAUACCCGAUGGUAUAAAGAGUUCGCAUGUUCUCUUUAUUAAAGAAUUUCGGUAAGCGAUGGGGAUGCGUUCCAUUAGAUUGUUGGCGGGGUAACGGCCCACCAAGUCUACGAUGGAUAGGGGUUCUGAGAGGAAGGUCCCCCCACAUUGGAACUGAGACACGGUCCAAACUCCUACGGGAGGCAGCAGUGAGGAAUAUUGGUCAAUGGACGAGAGUCUGAACCAGCCAAGUAGCGUGAAGGAUGACUGCCCUAUGGGUUGUAAACUUCUUUUAUAAGGGAAUAAAGUGAGGGACGUGUCCCUUUUUGUAUGUACCUUAUGAAUAAGGAUCGGCUAACUCCGUGCCAGCAGCGGC